rnacentral:lncRNA from 1 species
AAUAAGAAAACCAGGGAUCUCGCUCGCUCUCUUUCAUUCAUCCACUGUGGUUACCGUGGCCGCGUGGUCUGCGAUGUCACGGGCCGAAGAGGGCAGGAAGAGGGGCCUGGUCUUGCCGGCUUGGUGCUGGGUGGGAGCCGCCGGCCAGCACCUCACUCUUCUCCUGCCUCUGCCUGCCCCCUAGUGGGAAAGCCUGGGAGGCGGCCCGGAGUGGGGUUCCCGGGGAGCAGCCCCCCCAGCCCUGCUCCCCAGCACGUCUCCGGGUCUCCCGGAGGACCCCAGCUCUGCCCCGACGCCCCGCAGCCUCCCGGGGAUGCCCCCCUGCACGUCCGUGGUCUGCGAGGCACCUUCCCGUGUGCGGGCUCCACAGGGCACACGCCGCCCCUAGAAGGGACAGAAGUUCUCUUAAGUGUGUUCCCACCCCGGGAGCCUCCCGUGCCACCUGGACGUCCAGACUCGCGCUCGUCUGUUCGUCGGAGCCCCCUGGAUGGAUGGUCAGCGCUGGACACAGGGAAGGAGCUCGCAGCCGGGGCAGGGCCUGCUCAUCCCCGAUGGCCACGUGGUCAGGUGGGCGCCCGCGGAGGGCAUCAGCGCCGGGCCCAGGGAGCAAAGGCCUUGGCGGGGGGCACCCGAAUUUGCCGCGGGUUCUUGCCCCGGCCAAGCCGCUCUAGCAACUGCUCUGUUCAGGGGACUCGGGAACAUGCACGAGGCCGCAAGGGCAUCCAGCUACCUCCCACCCGUGGAGCGCCCGGCGGUGCCCCGGCCCAGGCCACAGGGAUCCGGGCGUCCCCGCAGACGCACACUUGGCCAGGGGCUCCCCGGGGUGACGCACCACGACCCUCCCAGCGCCCCUGCCCACGCCCUGCCCCGCCUUGCUCACCUCAGGCCUCCCGAGGCUCCGUCCUCCAGCCGCUGACUCACAGACACGGAGGACCUAGGGAGGAAAGGAGGCAAUUAGCUCCGAUGACUCAGGAGCCCUCCCGGGGACUCCGUGAUCUCCGUGCAGACUUUUGGUUUAAAAGCCCGAGGGUGAUGAUACUGUCAUCCGUGUAG